GCCCUGGUAGCUCAAUUGGUUAGAGCGUCGGACUUUUACAACAUAUCUACGUAUGAUGGUGUCAUCCGAAGGCUGCGGGUUCGACCCCCGCCUGGGGCG